rnacentral:rRNA from 1 species
AUUGAACGCUGGCGGCAUGCUUUACACAUGCAAGUCGAACGGCAGCGCGGGCUUCGGCCUGGCGGCGCGUGGCGAACGGGUGAGUAAUACAUCGGAACGUGCCCAGUAGUGGGGGAUAGCUCGGCGAAAGCCGGAUUAAUACCGCAUACGACCUGAGGGUGAAAGCGGGUGAUCUUCGGACCUCGCGCUAUUGGAGCGGCCGAUGGCAGAUUAGCUAGUUGGUGGGGUAAAGGCCUACCAAGGCGACGAUCUGUAGCUGGUCUGAGAGGACGACCAGCCACACUGGGACUGAGACACGGCCCAGACUCCUACGGGAGGCAGCAGUGGGGAAUUUUGGACAAUGGGCGAAAGCCUGAUCCAGCAAUGCCGCGUGUGUGAUGAAGGCCUUCGGGUUGUAAAGCACUUUUGGCGGGAACGAAAAGGACUGUGCCAAUACCACGGUUCGAUGACGGUACCCGCAGAAUAAGCACCGGCUAACUACGUG